GUCACCUUCGAAUAUAUAUGCUACAUUGUACCGUCCACAGGCCAGCUUCUCGCUUCCUCAACUCCUCCUCUUCUCAGCUCGUCGCAUUUCUCUUCGCCGGUGGGAGAAUGACCGGGAAGAGAAGGGAAAAUGCUUAACGAUGGCGUCCUUUAUUUGUCAUUUUGCAAAAAUGACAAUAUUAUCUCAUGGAAGAAAAGAAGUUAUUGCAGCAGAUUAAUUAUGCCAGGUUUGGAGAUGAACCCAACCUAACUGGACAUUUGACAGUAUUGCAUGCUGUCAUUUCUUUUGUGGAGAAUACAAGUAUAAAGAGGUUGAUAAGAGAUAAACAUUUUUUCUGGGGUUGAUCAUGUUUGGGGCAAGGAAACACUAGGAUGUCUUUAUCAACCGGAUACAUAAUUUGUGCCAAGUGAUACUUGAAAGAAAGGUGCAUGAGAAGAUGAUAGAACCCACAAAGCUUUCCAUCUAGAUUGAGCCCACAUCAGCACACCGCAUUCACCAACUUAUUCUUUUAUCAAAUUUCCAUCGUAACAGCAGUUAAAAGGCGUACUAAGCUCAUAAGGCUCCUCGCUUUGCGAGUAUAGAGAGGAUGGUAGCAGUAUAUGUAACUUUGCACCUACUAUUAUGCAAACAAAUUAUUUCUUUGGAUUCAUACUCUGUGAUUAACCGACCACAGAAGAACUGUUUUACCAUUAAUCUAAUGAGGAGAUAGGGAGGGUAGGUAUUGGUUUUGAAACUUGCUGUUGGAUAAUUAAAAAGCGAGAAAGACUCGUAUGCCAUGGGGGUACUUUGCUCCCUCUGUUAAAAUUAUACCAUGUAAGCAGUUUAAUCUUAUGAAAAUGUGCAUGACACAGUUAAAAUGGA